rnacentral:rRNA from 1 species
UACGUAGGUGGCAAGCGUUAUCCGGAUUUAUUGGGUGUAAAGGGCGUGUAGGCGGGAGCGCAAGUCAGAUGUGAAAACUCAGGGCUCAACCCUGAGCCUGCAUUUGAAACUGUGUUUCUUGAGUGCUGGAGAGGCAAUCGGGAUUCCGUGUGUAGCGGUGAAAUGCGUAGACAUACGGAGGAACACCAGUGGCGAAGGCGGAUUGCUGGACAGUAACUGACGCUGAGGCGCGAAAGCGUGGGGAGCAAACAGG